AGGGCAAGUCUGGUGCCAGCAGCCGCGGUAAUUCCAGCUCCAAUAGCGUAUAUUAAAGUUGUUGCAGUUAAAAAGCUCGUAGUUGAAUUUCGGGGUCAGCAGGUCGGUCGUGCCAAUGGUAUGCACUGGCCUUGCUGAUUCCUCCCUCUUGAUGAGCCGUAAUGCCAUUAAUUUGGUGUUGCGGGGAAUCAGGACUGUUACUUUGAAAAAAUUAGAGUGUUUAAAGCAGGCAAGCGCUUGAAUACAUUAGCAUGGAAUAAUGAAAUAGGACGUUCGAUCCUAUUUUGUUGGUUUCUAGGAUUGACGUAAUGAUUAAUAGGGAUAGUUGGGGGCAUUAGUAUUCAAUUGUCAGAGGUGAAAUUCUUGGAUUUAUUGAAGACUAACUACUGCGAAAGCAUUUGCCAAGGAUGUUUUCAUUAAUCAAGAACGAAAGUUAGGGGAUCGAAGACGAUCAGAUACCGUCGUAGUCUUAACCAUAAACUAUGCCGACUAGGGAUCGGAUGAUGUUAAUUUUUUAAUGACUCAUUCGGCGCCUUACGGGAA
rnacentral:rRNA from 1 species